AUUGAACGCUGGCGGCAUGCUUUACACAUGCAAGUCGAACGGCAGCGCGGGCUUCGGCCUGGCGGCGAGUGGCGAACGGGUGAGUAAUACAUCGGAACGUGCCCAGUAGUGGGGGAUAGCUCGGCGAAAGCCGGAUUAAUACCGCAUACGACCUGAGGGUGAAAGCGGGGGAUCUUCGGACCUCGCGCUAUUGGAGCGGCCGAUGGCAGAUUAGCUAGUUGGUGGGGUAAAGGCCUACCAAGGCGACGAUCUGUAGCUGGUCUGAGAGGACGACCAGCCACACUGGGACUGAGACACGGCCCAGACUCCUACGGGAGGCAGCAGUGGGGAAUUUUGGACAAUGGGCGAAAGCCUGAUCCAGCAAUGCCGCGUGUGUGAUGAAGGCCUUCGGGUUGUAAAGCACUUUUGGCGGGAACGAAAAGGACUGUGCCAAUACCACGGUUCGAUGACGGUACCCACAGAAUAAGCACCGGCUAACUACGUG
rnacentral:rRNA from 1 species